rnacentral:rRNA from 1 species
GGCGAGCCUAACACAUGCAAGUCGAGCGAGAAAAGGGGAGCAAUCCCCUGAGUAAAGCGGCGCACGGGUGAGUAACACGUGGGUAAUCUGCCCUAGAGUGGGGAAUAACACCGGGAAACCGGUGCUAAUACCGCAUACGAUCACGAUGUCUGCGGACGUUGUGAUGAAAGGAGCAAUUCGCUCUAGGAGGAGCCCGCGGCUGAUUAGCUAGUUGGUGAGGUAAUGGCUCACCAAGGCUACGAUCAGUAUCCGGUCUGAGAGGACGGUCGGACACACUGGAACUGAGACACGGUCCAGACUCCUACGGGAGGCAGCAGUGGGGAAUUUUUGGCAAUGGGGGCAACCCUGACCAAGCAACGCCGCGUGGAUGAUGAAGUAUCUCGGUACGUAAAAUCCUUUCGACAGGGACGAAACCCGCAAGGGUUGACGGUACCUGUAGAAGAAGCCCCGGCUAACUCCGUGCCAGCAGCCGCGGUAAUACGGGGGGGGCGAGCGUUGUUCGGAAUUACUGGGCGUAAAGGGCCCCUAAGGCGGUUUUGUUAAGUUGGAUGUGAAAACUCUGGGCUUAACCCA